AAUCAACGCUGGCGGCGUGCCUCAGACAUGCAAGUCGAACGAUUAAACUUUCCUUCGGGGAAGAUAUAGAGUGGCGCACGGGUGAGUAACACGUAAGUAAUCUACCCUUGGGUGGGGAAUAACAUCGGGAAACCGAUGCUAAUACCGCAUAAUGCAGCGGCUUCUUAUGAAGACAGUUGUUAAAGCAUUUAUGUGCCUGAGGAGGAGCUUGCGGCAGAUUAGCAGUUGGUAAGGUAAUGGCUUACCAAGGCGACGAUCUGUAGCCGACCUGAGAGGGUGGUCGGUCACACUGACACUGAAUAACGGGUCAGGACUCCUACGGGAGGCAGCAGUCGGGAAUUUUGGGCAAUGGGCGCAAGCCUGACCCAGCAACGCCGCGUGAAGGAUGAAGUA
rnacentral:rRNA from 1 species